GCAAAGUUGGUUUAGUGGUAUAAUUGCCGCCUGCCAAGUUAAUGAACUUAGAUCGCGGCAGACCCGGGUUCGAUUCCCGGACUUUGCA